CCUGGAAUUCUUGUUAACAUAUCAAUGAGACAUUCGGUUGAUAAAUCAGUUGCCGUUACAUCUAGCUCUUGAAUGGUAGUUUUUUCCCAUUCCACUUGCAUUACGUGCUCGCUGCGAAGAUCUGGUUUUCAUCGUUGAUCCAGUGACUUUCGAGCAAAAAUUUACUGCCAAACAUUCUAGUUGAAUGCAAUUCGACGAAAAUGCAUCGAUAUGAGAAUCAUCGACAAAAUUAAUUCCAUAAAGAUUAAUUACUCUUAAAUUUGGAGUUGCGGAUUUUAAUUUAUGCACGUUGAUGACUUCGUAAAUUUCCUCUUCCUCUUCUUCAACCUUUUCACGUCGGCUGAAAAUUCAAAAAGAAGCUUGAACCAUCAAUUGUAAUAAAGCAAAAUAAGAUAAAUUUUUCUUUGAAAGAAAUCGAAGAAAUGUAUCUAAAGCCAUUUGAAGGAGAAGAAGAGGAAAAAAAAGAAGAAAGAGAAUAUAAAAAAGAAAGUUAUAAAGCAGAAAAUACAAAUUGAAGAAAGAAUCGAAUAGAGAAGAAUUGUAAAUUCAAAAAUAAGCUUAAACCAUCAAUUGUAAUAAAGCAAAAUAUGAAAAAUAUUUCUUUAAAAGAAGUCGAAGAAAUAUAUAUCUUUAGCCACUUAAAGAAGAAGAAGAAUAAAUAAAUAGAAGUUAUGAAGCAGAAGAUGAAAAUUGAAGAAAGCAUCAAAUUGAGAAAGAAAAGAUUUUUUUAUCUUCAUGAGAAGAGAACUGUCAACAAUUUAUUAGUGACGAGAGGAAAAUUCUGAAAGAGUGAACAAAAGAAACAGAAAGUGGAGUAAAUGGAAAAGAUCAACGAAGCUGAAGUCAUUUUUUUAAAGUUAGAUUAUUAUUAAACAAAUUUUCGAAACAGAACGAGAAAUUAGAAGAAGAAAAUAUACCAGAAAAUGAAUAGACACUCCAACCUGAAAUCCUGUGACAAUUUCUUCUUCAAAAGGUGCCAUUAAUCGGUAAUCCUAAUGGAAAUAAAUUGGAAAGACAAUAUUUAAAGAUGAAUGAAAAGAAUGUAAAAACUUACUGUACUUGCAAAACGACUUUUUAUGACUCCGCCUUCCGAAACAUACAUUUGAGAUGUUUCAACGGCUAUUUGGCCCCAAACAUCCAGACCCUCCAUUUUUAAUACAAGUUAACAAAUUUCUUGAUCCGAUCACCAUAAAAAUGGUAUUCUUACCUGGAAGGAACAAAAAUCCAAUCCUGAUCGAUCUCUCAGCCCUCAGCAAUCAGCAAAAAUGUGUUAAAAUGAUUUUACAAUUAUCCCAAAG